CCUGGGUUCAAUUUUCAGCACCAUAAAUAAAUAAACAAACAAACAAAUAAAUAAAGUUCCAUCAACAAACAAAACAUUUUUUUUAAAAAAACUAUUGCUUUAUUAUUAAUGUUCAUCACCUUGAUUUGCUUGUUGUAUUCCCUGGAGAAAUGGAAUGAAAAUCCAAGUGCUUACCAGUUCAGAACUCAUCAUUUUACAUAAAGAACUUUAUUUAAUUCCAAAAAUAUUUAUUUGAGGUAUUUUCUUUCAUUCAGUUUCUGAAAGGAAGAUCCUGAGGUUGGGGUCCAUAGUAACCUGGAACCUGGGUCAAUCUGACCCUGUGACUUUUGCUACUCUACUUUUUGUAAGAACAUUUUCAUUGUAUGUAUUUUUAUGUGUGUGUAUCAUUGCUCUUAUUGAUAGACAUCAAUCUUUUACAGAGAAUAAAUAUGAUUUCUAUUUUUUAA
rnacentral:lncRNA from 1 species